UACAGAGGUCCCAAGCGUUGUUCGGAUUCAUUGGGCGUAAAGGGUGCGUAGGUGGCGCCGUAAGUGGGGUGUGAAAUUUCGGAGCUUAACUCCGAAACUGCAUUCCAUACUGCGGUGCUUGAGGACUGGAGAGGAGACUGGAAUUUACGGUGUAGCAGUGAAAUGCGUAGAGAUCGUAAGGAAGACCAGUGGCGAAGGCGGGUCUCUGGACAGUUCCUGACGCUGAGGCACGAAGGCCAGGGGAGCAAACGGGG
rnacentral:rRNA from 1 species